CCCGCGCGCGCCGCGAGCUGGGCGAGGAACUCGUGGUAGCAGCUCCAGGCCGCGGACCCGACGCAGAACCCGCCGCCGUGGAAGUACACCACGACGGGGCGCCUGGCUCCGUCCCCCGCCGACGUCGGCGCGUACAGCCGCGCCCACACCCCCGUCGCGGGGUCCACCACCACGUCCCUCGCGACGACGCCGCCCGGCGCGUCCGGGGCCGUGCCGCCCCACGUGCAGGGCACGGCUGGGAUCGCCGGGAGCCGCUCCACGUGUCCGUCCUUGUAGACGCGGAUCAGGCCGUGGAUCUCCUCGACGACGGCGCCGUGGCCGCCGUUCUUCGCGACGACUGCUGCAGGCUGCUGGCGGAAGCUGAUCCUGGGCUCGCCGACGACGUGCAGUGCCCCCAUCCUCCUCCUCCUCAUGCAAAGCUGCCGGCCUUCUCGCGGUCACGGGCGGCACGGCAGGCGGGAGGCGAAACGCGGCAGCCGGCAAGCUGCUUCGGCCGUGCGAUGUGUCACGUCCCGGGGCCCGGCGAGCGAGCACAAUUAUGCAGUCGUGUGACCG
rnacentral:misc_RNA from 1 species